rnacentral:tRNA from 1 species
GCUGGAGUGGCCGAGGCAGAGGCCAUAGCCUGUAAAGCUAUUCACGAGAAUAUCUCUUCCAGUA